rnacentral:lncRNA from 1 species
GUGGAGGAGUUCUGCUUACUGGCUUACUCUCCAUGACUUGCUCAGCCUGCUUUUUGGAUACAGCCCAGGCCCACCCUCCCAGCCCUUCUGCAUCUGAUAGCAAAUAGAAAAGCUACCUCAUGAACUAAUCUGAUUGUGGUAAUUCCUGAACUGAUGUCUCUGCCUAGGUGACUGACUCCACUUUGUAUCUAGCUGACAAAACUAACCACCAGCACAGCAUGUAACACAGUAUCUGACUUUGAAGAUCAGAAGGGUUGGGUCAGGAAGCCAUAAUAGAUCCACCUGAAUAUCAAGCUGGGCAGCUCUUGGCCAUACUCCCUGAGGACUCUUCAUCCUAUUACAGAGAUUCUUGCUCAGUUGUGUUCACUGCUGCUCUGCUCAUAAUAGAAGUUGGAAAUGCCCAUCAAAUGGCUAUGAAAAUAUGGGGCUCAGUCCAGAAUCAUCACGGUGGGAAACAUGGCAGUGUGCAAGAAGACAUGGUGCUGGAGAAGGAGCUGAGAGUUUUACAUCUUGAUCUGAAGAAAGUCAGAAGGAAUGUCUAUCAUCUAC